GUAGCCUAGGCUGCCCCAAACUCCAUAUGUACUACGGGGUGAUCUUGAACCGGCACAGUCUUCUUUAUUUCAUGUGUAUAAAUGCUUUGCUUACAUGUAUAUAUGUUCACCACAUGUGUGCCUGGAGCCUAGAAAAGCCAGAGUGAGGCUGCCAUUGGGUGUUGCUAACUGAACCUGAGUCCUCUGUGAGUGCAGUCAGUGUUCUAACCACUGAGCUGUCUGUCUUCCCUACUUCCCUAUGAGGACAUGAAAACAUAGAUCCCAGUUCCGGGAGAUCCAACAACCUCACAUUUGGUACACAUAUGUACAUGCAAGGAAGCUAAGUAUUGUUAUGCUUAGUCCAUGGGGACCCCAAAAGACCACCAGGGAGACCAACUCACCAAAAUGCAAAAGCAAGGUUUAUUGUGUGUGCGUUACAAGUUGGCAGGGACCUCGUCAGUGUGCAGGAGGGAGAAGAGGUACCCCACCCUUCUAGAGGGCACUAUUUAAAAGCAAAAACCAGAAAAGUUACUCUGGGCCAGUCUCCUACUCUGUCAAGUCAUGGUUUAGACUCCAUAAUCUAGGAUUCUCUGCACUGUUUACAGAAAUGACAUCACAGUCUUUAUGUCUCCAAGAGGAUCAGGAUGGGACUUCUAAAUCAAAUCCUAUAUGCUCACUAGUUUUUGUUGGUGUCUUUGCAACAGCAAUGGCGAUUUUCAGAAGCCCAUCAAAGGCUUGGCUGGGAUGGCCCUUUGCAUUAUAGCGUCCUCGUCACUCUGCAGCCCUCCUCACAAGGUCCUUGUCACCACCCUAAAUCCCCAGACAAAUGUCUAGGUUUAUCUACCUAAAGCCACGUAAUCUCUAUCCCUCUUCUUGCUGAAAAUUCAGCCACAGGUAUUCAGGAUUGAUGCCAAACCCUCCAGAGACAAUGUUAGGCCCUUCACCCCAACAGUAACACCCAACACCCUUCAGCACCACCCUUCCCAUUCUAGUUUGCCAUCUGUGGUUGUGAUAAACAAUCUGAUCCGAAAACAACUUGUGGGGGUUGGAGAGAUGGCUCAGAGGUUAGGACCAAUGGCUGUUCUCCUAGAGAUCCCGAGUUCUAUUCCUAGCAACAACAUUGUGGCUCACAACCAUCUAUAAUGAUAUCUGGUGCCCUUUUAUGGCAUGCAAGCCUACAGGCAGGCAAAGCACUGUAUACAUAAUUAAUAGGCAAAUCUUAAAAAAAAUGCAAGUUGGGAAAGAAAGGGUUUAUUUGGCUUACACUUGUAGGACAUAGUCCAUUUUUGAGGGAAGUCAGAGCAGGAAUUCAAGCAGAAACCUGGGGCAGGGGCUAUAGAGAGCUGCUGCCUGUUGGUUUGCUCACAAGUUUAUGCUUAGCUAAUAUUCUUAUACAACUCAGGGCCACCUGCCUAGGGAAUAGUGUUGCCCACAGUGGGCCAAUCCCUUGUUUAUCAAUUAGCAAGCAAGACAGACCUCCAUCUACAUGUCCACUAACCAAUGUAAUCUGAACACUUCUUCAACUGGGAGUUCAUUGUCAGGUGACUCUGGGUUCUAUUAAGUUUACAAGCUAACUAGGACACAUCCACUUCCAUGUACAUCUGUGAUCACAGUGUUUCUCCAGCCUGCUUGGACGUCCCCACCUUCAUACAUAUGGAAGACUUUUCUCUUUGUUCAGCCCUCUCCCUCCUUCCCACUUUCUCUAGCUUAUCCCCUCAUUCUUAGUCUCCUUGGAUACUUCCUCAACACUGAGGAAGGUCUCCCUGAUUCUCCUGCUCAGCCUCUGGUCCGUGUUAGAGUUAGUUUUUUGGUGCAUCUUCAUGUUUAUGGCCCACCUCUGUUGUUGGGAUGCAAACUCCCCAACUUGGAUAUUGUUUUUCUUUGUCUCCUGUGUAGCUGGAAUAUGGUUGGUUCCCUGUGCAGCUCAGGAUGAAACGUGGCCCCCAGUGUGACAGUGUUAAGAGGUCGUGGGACCUGUAAGAACUGAGUAGGCUUGUGAAUGGGACUCAUGGAGUUUUUAUGGAACUGGGUUCGUGGCCUCCCAUGAGACAGGCUCCAGGAAGUGAGACUGUCGGUCAGUGUGGACUAGCUUCUGCACAUCCCUGCUUGCUUUUCAGCUCUCAUCAUGAGCUCAUGCAGCAUAAAGGCCCCAGAAACUGAACAGAGGUCAACACCGGGUUCUUGAACUUUCUUUCUAGCAUCUGCAAUGGAGGAACUGAUGAAAUUUCCUCACUUUAUACAGAACCCAUUCUCAGGCAUUCUAUUGUAGCAAUAGAGAUGGAUUAAGACAGCUCCCCAGUGUCUCCUAUGAAAUCUAUCAUGAAGGAGGCACCUUCUACUACCUGGUACUAUCUGGAAUACCUGGAUAAUGGACAUUGACUAUUGGCUGUUUGCUAGGGGAGCCUGAUCAUUAUGGACCUCCAGGGAUCUGUCAAGAAACAAUUCCUAGUUCAAGCCAUGGAUGUCUGUUCAUCGCUGGGUUUGCCGGACCGUCAACUCCUGUUUACAACAGAAGCCAUUCCGAAGAUGCUCAGUGGACAGAGAGUCAGAAGAUCCUCCGCCGAGUCUAGAUUGCCAGGGAAGUCACUUCCUGUCUCUGAAUUUUAGUUAUAAUGACAGGCUGCAGGUGGCAUUUGCAGAGACCAGAGAUCAACUUGGAAUCCAUUGAUUUGGCUGGCCUGCCUAGUCAGUGAGCCUUGGGAAUCCUCCCGUCUCUACGUCCGUGGACUAGGAGUACAUGUACGUACCUCUGUGCCUCACUUUGGAAUGCUAUUUCCAGGGACCCAGCUUAGCUUUCAUGAUUGCACAGAAGGUAUUUUCCUGGGUGAGCCAUCUCCCCAAUUCCCAGGGUUCUUUUCUUAUGUUCCCAUAGCUCUGUGUGUUCUCUCAGAACACCCACUACAAUGUUUCUUGAUUUGCUUGCUUCCCUACCAGGAACCCGAGUUGCUUGUGAGCAGGGACUCUGGGUCUUAGAUUUUCAAGGGAAUAAAUGAGCGACGGAUUAAGAAAGGAAACACGGCUUGACUUUCGAGGUCCAGCUCUUCAGUUGAUCGUCACGGGGCACGAAUGGAAUUGGGCUGGAAGACCUUACCCUCCGUUCAGGAACAGUAAAAUGUGUUUGCAAGGCAUGCAGUCUUCAGGAACAGUAAAAUGUGUUUGCAAGGCAUGCAGUCUUCAGGGUGACAAACGCUGGGGAUGGCAGGUGUGUUCAUUUUCAGAGUGUUCCAAGCCUGCUCCACACUUAUAAAACCAAGUACUGAGUAUAUGGGAAACCCUGGAAUCAUCACGCUGCAGGGUGCUCCCCAGGCCCUGUCGAAUUAGCACCUUUGUCUGGUAAUGGAACAUAAAGAGUGACCUUUUGCUGUCUCUGUGUGA